rnacentral:lncRNA from 1 species
UAAGGUCACAGUACUUCUAACGGAAUAAGUAAGCAGCGGAAAUAACAAUGCAGCAAAAAAUACGUCUAGCAGAUAACUAGUCCCACAGUAAUUAGAUCACUAAGAAUUACAAAACUGAUUUUCACCAAAAAACAAAUACUCAAUCAAAAAGAUCAAUCAAGAGCACGUAACCCUAAUUCUAGCACAAGCAAUGGUUGCCAAGCAAUGACAACCCCCAACCUAUUG